GACGAACGCUGGCGGCGUGCUUAACACAUGCAAGUCGAGCGGUAAGGCCCUUUCGGGGGUACGACGAGCGGCGAACGGGUGAGUAACACGUGGGUGACCUGCCCUCAGCUCUGGGAUAAGCCUGGGAAACCGGGUCUAAUACUGGAUAUGACUCCAUGACGCAUGUUGUGGGGUGGAAAGCCUUGUGCGGCUGAGGAUGGGCCCGCGGCCUAUCAGCUUGUUGGUGGGGGUGAGGCCUACCAAGGCGACGACGGGUAGCCGGCCUGAGAGGGCGACCGGCCACACUGGGACUGAGACACGGCUCAGACUCCUACGGGAGGGCAGCAGUGGGGAAUCUUGCGCAAUGGGCGAAAGCCUGACGCAGCGACGCCGCGUGAGGGAUGACGGCCUGGUGUAA
rnacentral:rRNA from 1 species